GGCAGCAUGGUGUAGUGGUCAGAGCAUUUGACUACAACUCUGGAGACCAGAGUUUGAAUCCCUGCUGGGUCA